rnacentral:rRNA from 1 species
ACGUACGGCCACAGCAUCUGGACAACUCGGGAUCCCGUCUGCUCUCCCCUAGAUAAGCCGGAUAGCGCCAAGAUUAGUAGUUGGGUCGGUGACGACCAGCGAACCCCUGGUGUUGUACGUU